rnacentral:rRNA from 1 species
CUUGCUGGCCACUUGUUGGMGGUCAGCUCCUCUGAAAUGCAUUAGCGGAACCGUUUGCGAUCUGCCACAAGUGUGAUAAAUUAUCUGCACUGGCGAGGGGAUUGCUCUCUGUGUUGUUCGGCUUCUAAUCGUCUCAAUCUAACGAGACAACUUCCUGAAUGCU